GGGGAGAUUAGUUCAGUGGCAGAACUUCCGGUUGUGGCCCGGACGAGCAGGGUUCGAUUCCCGGUCUCCCCC
rnacentral:tRNA from 1 species